UAUCUACCGUGUGGCGAUGCGUCAGGUCAACAGUCGGGCAUAAAUAUAUUCCGUGCGCAACAGUUACUUUACUUAUUUUAAUAUUUUUUGUGAUAUCAACUUUAAUUGCAGUAGGUUCUUCCCCUGAUAAGUUAGUCACAAGAGCUUUAAUAAAAAUGCCAAUUAAUAAUUUAUUAAAUUAGUAGUGUCUGUCAAAUUAAUCGAGAAGCCGAACAGCCCAGUUCGCAGUAUUCCGUUACUCUUAGUAUUCCUGCAGACUGUCCACCCUCGCAGGCUGCGUGCCUCGAGCCGAGCGCCAUCACUCCCGGCUGAGCUGCGCGGUGAUGAGCUAGCGGCGUGGAAGAUACCCAACAAGGUGUUCUGUGACGAGAUGGAGAGCCGCCUGGACGGCAGGUCGCUGGUGCUGCCGUGGUGGCAUCACUACUGCCAGGAGCUCAAGGCCAAGCAGAAGCCGUGGACGGAGCACUACCGGCCCAGGCACCGCGCCGCGCUCGACGAGCUGCUGCGGUACCGACGGGGGGAACGUAAACAGGACAGGGUUAAGCUUAGCUGGGCAACAGGCUAGAUAACGAAGUUCGAGUACUGUCAAGUAUUUUUUAAAACAGAAAAAUCAGUUUAGAUUUGGGAAGUUCGACUCUGAUUAUGUGUUUUAUUAAAAUAAACUAUUUGCGCAAUGAGGAUUUAAUAAUUUUGAAUAAGAGAACAUACAUAAGCUUUAUACUAUAUUUAGGAAAUUUCCCAUCGUCAUGUCUAGGCAAUGGCAUAUAUAAGGAAGUUUGUUCGUUAAUAUUAUUCCAAUUACCGAUCGAAUGCGAGUGGGCUGUUGAGACGGACGUACGACACGGGCGGAGCUCGUACGUCAUCUUCUCUUCUUCGUAUUCAUUUGAUUUAAUUUGAAUAUGCACUAGACAACAACUUGUUAUUAUCGAGGCCGCGGCCCAGUGCUGCUGUCGGUGUCCACUGUCAGGGUGUCCAGGCGAGGGAGCUGUCCUGGC